rnacentral:snRNA from 1 species
GUGCUUGCUUUGGCAGCACAUACACUGAAAAUUGGAAUGCUACAGAGAAGAUUAGCACGUCCACUUUUUAAGGAUGACACUCACAUUUGUGAAGGAUUCCAUCAUUUU